GUUUGGUAAGAUAUAUGAUCUCCGAGAUGAUUUGAAUACCUUUCUGCAGUCCGCAGAUAGGGAACUUAUAGCUGAAAUCUUCCAUGAAGUUCUUGCUACCUGGAAAGGUUUCUGAAAAUUUGUGUUUAAAUUGAAAGCCGAAAAAUAGCAUGUGUUAAGUCAAUGAUUGUCUAUAAUGUCCAACAAAAUAGGUUAUUAGAAAAAUUGUAUUGUACCAAAUUUGUUGCAGCGGAAUUAUAUUCUUUUGCUGGAUUGCAAUUUGUUGUUGUACAGUACAGACUACAGAAUAUCUAUAUUGAUUUCAAUGAAAAACAAAUCUUAUUUCUUGGAUUAUUUUGGUGCUAUACUGAUGAUUUUGCAGAAAUUAGAGGAAUAUGUUGAUAAGUUGCAUGGUAUAUUGAUAUAUGUAUGAUAUAAGAAGAGUUGAGCUUCAGCAAAGUAGUCCUAUGUCACUUACAAACUCAUGCAUUAAAAGAGCUUUGUAGGAUUAAUAAAGCAAAGCUUGUACGAAAAACAACAACACUGAAGCACUAAAUCAUAAAUCUAUAUUGCCUUACACCCGGAAUGUCUUGAAUGUUUUCAUAACUUGAGAAUAUUUCUGCCCAUUGUCAUAUUUCAAAAUCUAAACAUGAUGAACAAAGAGUGAGCUCAUGUCCACACCAAAAUUUACUCUCCGUCCCUCAAAAAUAGUUUCAUUUGAGUUUGGUAUAUUAAUUAAUUUACAAAAACAUAAAAUUCAAAUUGUGAUAUACAUUUAUUUUGAUUUUUAAAAUAACAAUUUUGUACUUGCAAUACUUUCAAAGAAGUUUUCUGUAUUAAUUAUUACGUUUCACAUCAAUUUUAAAUUCAAGAUUUCACAAAUUUUAUUUUUUUGCCCAAUUUUUCAGGCUUCCAAGCUUUAGCCUGCUCAGGCUAAAGCCCAGUCCAGGCUUAAGCCAGACCUGUUCAGGCUCCAGGCUGGUACAGGCCCUGUGUUAGGUUAAGCAGGUCUGUCCUUGGGGUAAAAAAAGGGAUUGUUUAGGCUGAUUCAGAUCCAGGCCACCUCUACUAUUGAGUAUUGGUUUUACAAAAGUCCGGUUUUCUUGUACUCUUUUGCUUCUUUUACCCAACACCAAAAGGAAAAUUAUAUAUGUUAAUAAUAUAUCCAAUUUUAUGUAUAGAUAAUUAUAUCCAAUUUUAUGUAUUAAUAUAUGUAACACAUAUUUUACAUGAAUCCCAUAUCAGAUAAAUUCAAGAGUAUAGAUGGGUUAAUAAGGAUCCGGUUAUCAUGAAUUAACUUCAUGAUAAGUUGCUCAAUUGACCAAUACAUAACUGACAAGAAAGAGAUCACUUCCACCCCCGGUUAAUAAGUAUAGUGAUAUCAAAGCUUAUGGUUCGUUGGGCCCAAGUAUCAGGUUGAUACUCCAGGCUGGAAAAGUUGUUCAGGGUGAAUGGUUCACAAGAGUCGAGCGGAGCUCUUGAAGGACUCAAAGAAGGUGUGUCUCAACCUAGUAGAUUAAUAUUUUAGGUAAGGGAGUAGUUCGAAAUACUUAUUACACAGAUGUGUAAUGAUACCAGUUGUUGGGGAUAACCGGGGAAACUCGCGUAUUGCAUGCUCGUACACAAGGCACCAACAUACAUAAAUGGGCCCAAGAUCUAUUAGACUCUAAAUCCUAAUUAGAUUCGCACUAAAAACAUGCUUUGGCAAGAACAAAGAAGUAGAGAACAUUUAGUUUGUAACGAAAUGGUUCUCCGAGCUAAGCAGCUUAUGAAUUUCUCUUUCCAGGUUCACUUAUGUACACGUUCUUACAUUUGCAUGGUAUUAUAAUAUGAUAUCUCCUUGUUCUAAAAUUACAUAAAAUUUAUUUUUUUUCAAAUGUUAAUAAGGUGACAGGCUAAUAAUAAUAAUAUAAUUAAUGACAUAUUAUAUUAAUGGCAUUUACCUAGUUGAAAUUCCGCAUCUUCUCUCUCUUGUCUUCUCCAAUAUCUCAACCUUCUUGGGAAUUCUGAGAACAAUUGCAGAAAAGAGAAGAAAAGAAAAGUAGUCGAGCAAGUGAAGAGAUUCUCUGGGGGAGGAGGGUGUCAUUGGGGGAGAAUAUGGAGGGAAUAUUAUUAGUAUCUUUAUG
rnacentral:lncRNA from 1 species